rnacentral:lncRNA from 1 species
CAGCUGUCUCUCUUCCAGCUAUAAAUCGACUGUAUAUGACCAAUGGUCCUACGCUAACACAUCAACAGAAGAAAGAUCUAGUUGCUGAUAUCACUGAUUUUGAGAUUCUGGACAGUCUGAAGUCAAUUGGUGAUGACAAAGCCCCGUGAAUUGAUGGGUAUAAUGCACUGUUCUUCAAGCAAACUUGGAACAUCACUGGCAAACAAAUAAUUGGUGCAGUCAAGAAUUUUUUCCAGACCAACAGGAUGUACAAACCACUCAACUCUGCCUCCCUUACCCUGAUACCUAAAGUUCCUAAUCCAACAACAGUCAAAGUGUUCAGACCAAUAGCUUGAUGUUCAGUGUUAUAUAAACUGAUUUCCAAGAUAUUAGACAACAGAAUGUAGAAAAUCAUGGCUAGCAUCAUCUGUGAUGCUCAAGCAGGAUUCAUCCCAAGCAGAAAGAUUGCAGACAAUGUUAUAUUGGCCCAUUUUUAAUCAAAAAUUACUCCAGAUCUCAUGUAACUCCUAGAUGCAUGAUCAAAAUUGACCUGCAGAAGGCAUAUGAUUCUGUCGAAUGGAUUUUCUUGCAAAUUACUCCAGAUCUCAUGUAACUCCUAGAUGCAUGAUCAAAAUUGACCUGCAGAAGGCAUAUGAUUCUGUCGAACGGAUUUUCUUGCAACAGGUAAUGGAGGCAAUGGGAUUUCCAGUCAGAUUCACAAGCUAGAUUAUGGAAUGUGUCCAAACAAUCAGCUAUACAGUGAUGAUCAAUGGGGAAACAACUGAACCUUUUAAAGCAGCUAAAGGCCUUAGACAAGGUGAUCCAAUCUCUCCAUUUCUCUUUGCUAUAGUAAUGGAGUACU